AGAUGGAUUGGUGCCUUCGGGAACUCUGAGACAGGUGCUGCAUGGCUGUCGUCAGCUCGUGUUGUGAAAUGUUGGGUUAAGUCCCGCAACGAGCGCAACCCUUAUCCUUUGUUGCCAGCGGUUAGGCCGGGAACUCAAAGGAGACUGCCAGUGAUAAACUGGAGGAAGGUGGGGAUGACGUCAAGUCAUCAUGGCCCUUACGAGUAGGGCUACACACGUGCUACAAUGGCGCAUACAAAGAGAAGCGACCUCGCGAGAGCAAGCGGACCUCAUAAAGUGCGUCGUAGUCCGGAUUGGAGUCUGCAACUCGACUCCAUGAAGUCGGAAUCGCUAGUAAUCGUGGAUCAGAAUGCCACGGUGAAUACGUUCCCGGGCCUUGUACACACCGCCCGUCACACCAUGGGAGUGGGUUGCAAAAGAAGUAGGUAGCUUAACCUUCGGGGGGGCGCUUACCACUUUGUGAUUCAUGACUGGGGUGAAGUCGUAACAAGGUAAGCGUAGUGCU
rnacentral:rRNA from 1 species